rnacentral:rRNA from 1 species
AUUAAUAAGCGGAGGUAAAAGAAAUCAACCGAGAUUCCCUGAGUAAGGGCGACUGAAACGGGAAGAGCCCAGCGCAUAACCUCGCGGUCCCUGGCGGCCGUCGAGGGGUGUUGCGUAUCGGUGGAUCCGUCCCGCCUGUGCUGCUCACCGCCUAAGUCAUUGCUUGAAAGCAGCCCCAUGGAGGGUGAUAGGCCCGUGUGGCGGCGCCCGUAAAAAGGGUGAAGGCGGCAUGGGCGGAGGGAUCUUCACCGUGGAGUCGGGUUGCUUAGUACUGCAGCCCUAAGCAGGUGGUAAACUCCAUCUAAGGCUAAAUACAACCACGAGUCCGAUAGCAGACAAGUACCGUGAGGGAAAGCUGAAAAGAACUUUGAAGAGAGAGUUCAAGAGGACGUGAAACCACUAGAAGCAUAAACGGGUGGACCCGCGACGGUCGAACGAGGGGAUUCAGCUCGCGGCCCGUCGGGCCGGAGGGGCGUUGUUUCAUGACCUUUCGCGCGGAACUUGACGCGCGCCGGCACCGCUCCUCCGGUGUGCCGGGCGGGUCCGCGGGCUUAUUUCUCCCUCUAGUAGCGGCGCCGCGACCUGUCGUUGAGGCCCCUAGGGCCCGUGCAGACUGGUAGCCGGGACUUCGGUUCUGGUGAGGACUGUGGCGGGUUCCGACCGGGCCUCGGCGGCGGUCACUGCCAGGAGGCCCUCCCUCCCCGGAGGGGGGGCCUCUCGCGGCGUAUGUGUGAGUCGGUCAUCCACCCGA